rnacentral:lncRNA from 1 species
UGAAUGAAUGACAUCAGACGUCAGAAGGGGGCCCUUACACACAGCAUAAAAUCCAACAGGAUCGUGACCACUGUCUUUGUGUUGUGGUUUUUAAAAACCUGCAGGUUCCUAUCAAAGCCUGGCUGAAAGCUUACGCUUCGUAAGACACCUUCCAGUGGUUCAGUUUCCUGCCAGGCAGUUUCAUGUACCAGGGUUCCAGCACCAUUCGGCUCCGCUUCUUGAAGCUUCAGAGCAACCUGGCCACACAGAAAGUCUCCUAUUCCUGCAGGCCCUACGCCGAGGAAGGCCAAAGACACUUGGAGAAGGAGAUCAAGUUCCUUGCUGACUCCCGGGAGGAAAGCUACGUGUCCCCUUCAGGGAUGCACGGUUUCCUUGCUGACUCCCGGGAGGAAAGCUACAUGUCCACCCUUCAGGGAUGCACGGUAAAAAAAAAAUGGGGGCACCAGGAAGCGGGUGGUGGUGGUGGUGGAAAGCACCUGACUGAAGGGCAAGAGGCUUUAAGGCAGGAGAAGAGAGCUUCUCCUAAGGCUGAGUUCCUGGACAUUUGAGCAGUAAGAUCAACUAUGCCAAUUGGGGCAGGAUUUUCAGGUUUCUUGGACUACCAAUCCCAUAGUUCUCCGUUUUGGGAGUUCUAGUGGGCAGGCAGGCACUUUACAGACCCUUGAAUGUAGGCUCAGCUGGGAGAAAAAGGCGUCGAGGCUGAACGAGGGCCUCCUUGCUCGGCUCCAGCUUUCUGCUCCUGCUCCGGUGUGAGCAGGGAGCCUUCUUUCCUUGUGGACAGGAAGCUGGGGUGGAGCUCGGCCUCGCUCAGCCUCAGAGCCUUCCUGGUUAGGCCUUUCCUCCCAGGCGAGCCACAUUUAGGUUCUGGCUGUCAAGAAGAACUCCCAGAAUGGCGAAUGAUGGGGCUUCAUAGUCCAAGGAAUCCCAACCCCUCGUACCAAUCAUGUACAGUAUGGUCCUACCCUUUGGCCUUUGGGCCUCCCCACCCCUGGAUUGUAAGCCAUGAGAAGCUGAUUGAAGCAAAAUUCUACCUCAAGGGAUGGAUCUUCAGCCCUGGAUUUAAAGGGAUUUCCUAAAAAAUCUAAUCCAGGAGACAUCUUCUCAGACCCAUUGCAACCUUGCCGUCUCUCACAUGCUCCGAGGGAAGGCUGAACUUAUGGAGGGUACUGGAAGCCCCCCACCCCCCAAAAAAUCCCCCAAACUAUCAGGCGUACAUAGCCGCCCCCCUCCUUUUUGAGGUUUUGGCUCCAAUUCCUUGCCUCGCAGGCUUCUCAGCUAAUAUUGAACACCAUGAGAUCUAGAACCAUGCAUGUAUGUUUUGAACGGAAAGCGUUGGCGGUUGGAUUGGCCAGUUCCUUGCCCUGGAAUCCUACCCUCCACAGAAUAUUUUUAUACUUCCCAAGACCGAGAAGUAAUUAUUUCCCAUUAUUGUUAAGUUGUUCAAAGUCACCGUUAGUUCCUUUUGGGGAAAAAAGUCACACAUGAAUUAACGACAUGAGGCACAGCUGGCUGUGAGCCGCAACGGCCUUCGCCUUAACCUCUUCCUCUCUCUUCCAGCUGGAGAACGAAUCAUCCUGCAUCUACUCUUUCUCCACGGAGGACCUCGCGCUGCUCCCCCUGCGGGAUCUGGGCGUCUUCCACAACGGGGACAACUCCCAUCAGUUUGGGUUCACCGUUGGACCCAUUUGUUUCCACUAAGAUGGUCCUCGACGGAUGGCGUGGAUGAUGGUGGGGGGGAAUGCAAGAAUCGUUUCCCCCGGAAGAGGCCACCGAUUUUGGGAAAACCCUCUUUCCUCUUUAUGAGCUUCUUAGAGGAAAUUGCUUUUGCUGCCGACGGUGCUUCCUUACAAAGGAUGGACACUAUGGAUUCCCCUUUACAAGGACAUGGUCCUCAAGUCCCAUUUCUUUAGGAGAUAUAUGUAUAAAACGUGUUAAUUUAAGUAACGACGACAAAGUCAUUGAAUUACCUGCGGGAGCUGGCGGGUCUUUUUUUAUAUAUACUUUGUAUAUUUCCCCAUUGCAGGCAGAAAUCAACCAGUUUAUAUCUGGCUGAGGUGGGGGAGGGAAGGAAUGCCCCCACCUCCAAGGUCUCAGUGGAAUACAAGUCCCAUCCACUCUUGAUGAUGGUGUGGAUGAUGGGACACACGGUCCUGCAAUAUCAGGAGGGCCAUGAGUUGCUGAUUCUUAGGCAACCGUCACAAGUUGAGUUGGGCAUCUCCCGACUCGUUUCCCCCCUCUAAGGGCCAAACCAGCUCUGAUGUCAGUGGGGUCCAUGAAAUUAUAACGCACAAUGUAUACAAUACAGGGAAGUCAGAGUGGCCUCCCAAUUGCGAGGUAUCUGGAAGGAGAAGUUUAAGGGACAAAAAUGUGCUUACAAGCAAAACCUCCAUUCCCGCCACUAGAGAGAGGCCAAGAGUCACUGCCGGAAACCUUUUCUAAGGAGAGGAAAAAAAAUCGCUCUUGAGAGAAAAUGAGCAGAAGAUGGAAGCCCUUCUGUCAAGGUUUUGGUCCAGCCUGGCGUAAUUUCCUUCUUUAAGGAAAAUCUUUAAUAAAUGGAAUUUUAAUAGGUAGAAACA